rnacentral:rRNA from 1 species
UGGGGAAUAUUGGACAAUGGGCGCAAGCCUGAUCCAGCCAUGCCGCGUGUGUGAAGAAGGCCUUUUGGUUGUAAAGCACUUUAAGCGAGGAGGAGGCUACUUGGAUUAAUACUCUAGGAUAGUGGACGUUACUCGCAGAAUAAGCACCGGCUAACUCUGUGCCAGCAGCCGCGGUAAUACAGAGGGUGCGAGCGUUAAUCGGAUUUACUGGGCGUAAAGCGUGCGUAGGCGGCUUCUUAAGUCGGAUGUGAAAUCCCUGAGCUUAACUUAGGAAUUGCAUUCGAUACUGGGAAGCUAGAGUAUGGGAGAGGAUGGUAGAAUUCCAAGUGUAGCGGUGAAAUGCGUAGAGAUCUGGAGGAAUACCGAUGGCGAAGGCAGCCAUCUGGCCUAAUACUGACGCUGAGGUACGAAAGCAUGGGGAGCAAACAGG